rnacentral:tRNA from 3 species
UUAUUUUGGCAGAAUAGUGCAUUUGAUUUAGAAUCAUUUUAAGUAAUUUUUACAGGUAAUAU